rnacentral:rRNA from 1 species
AGUGAACGCUGGCGGUAGGCCUAACACAUGCAAGUCGAACGGCAGCACAGUAAGAGCUUGCUCUUACGGGUGGCGAGUGGCGGACGGGUGAGGAAUACAUCGGAAUCUACUUUUUCGUGGGGGAUAAUGUAGGGAAACUUACGCUAAUACCGCAUACGACCUACGGGUGAAAGCAGGGGAUCUUCGGACCUUGCGCGAUUGAAUGAGCCGAUGUCGGAUUAGCUAGUUGGCGGGGUAAAGGCCCACCAAGGCGACGAUCCGUAGCUGGUCUGAGAGGAUGAUCAGCCACACUGGAAUUGAGACAUGGUCCAGACUCCUACGGGAGGCGGCAGUGGGGAAUAUUGGACAAUGGGCGCAAGCCUGAUCCAGCCAUACCGCGUGGGUGAAGAAGGCCUUCGGGUUGUAAAGCCCUUUUGUUGGGAAAGAAAAGCAGCAGGUUAAUACCCCGCUGUUCUGACGGUACCCAAAGAAUAAGCACCGGCUAACUUCGUG